rnacentral:rRNA from 1 species
UAAGCAGUGCGUGAAAUGAUGAGGCUCAACCUCAUGUCCAUGCGCUGAACUGCUAAGCUAGAGCAUGAUAGAGGUAGCUGGAAUUCCCUGUGUAGGAGUGAAAUCCGUAGAUAUAGGGAGGAACACCGAUGGCGUAGGCAGGCUACUGGAUCAUUGCUGACGCUCAGGCACGAAAGCGUGGGAGCGACCGGGAUUAGAUACCCCGUUAGUCCACGCCGUAAACGAUGGAUGCUA